rnacentral:rRNA from 1 species
UACAGAGGGGGCAAGCGUUGUUCGGAAUUACUGGGCGUAAAGGGCGCGUAGGCGGCCUGCUAAGUCGGACGUGAAAUCCCUCGGCUCAACCGAGGAACUGCGUCCGAUACUGGUGGGCUUGAAUCCGGGAGAGGGAUGUGGAAUUCCAGGUGUAGCGGUGAAAUGCGUAGAUAUCAAGAGGAACACCUGAGGCGAAGGCGGGUUGCUAGGCUGACACUGACGCUGAAGCGCGAAAGCUAGGGUAGCAAACGGG